rnacentral:ncRNA from 7 species
AGUUGGUGGAGCGAUUUGUCUGGU